GCCCCACCAACCUAAUGUGGGGUGUGACCUGCUCAGUGACUAUGAAUAAAAAAUAAUAGUAGUUAAACAGCCGCGGUAACUCUGACCGUGAUAAAGUAGCAUAAUCACUCGUCAUUUAAUUGAUGACUGGAAUGAACGGUUACACGAAUCUUUAACUGUCUCAAUUACAAAAUUUAUGAACUUAAAAUAAUAGUGAAGAUGCUAUUUACUAAUUGUAAGACGAAAAGACCCUAUCGAGCUUUACUAAAUACUUAAACCACGCAAAAAAAUAAUCAUAUUAAAAUGAAUCUUUAAGUAGGUUAGUUUGGUUGGGGCGACCACCUCUAAAAAAGUAUCAGAGGAGAUCUAAAGGUUAAUUAAUAAUAUAAGGAGCCUAACUGUAUAUUCACAGAUUAAUCAGUUACUAUUAGUAGGUUAUAAUGACCCGUUCAGAGUGUCUUAUACUUGAACGACAACGAAAAAAGUUACCGUAGGGAUAACAGGGUAAUAUUUCCGUAGAGUUCAUAUCGAUGGAGAUGUUUGCCACCUCGAUGUUGAAUUGUGAUAUCCUCAGGGUGUAGCAGCUCUAAAGGGUUG
rnacentral:rRNA from 1 species